UAUCAUUUAACUUUUCUGACAAACAGAUUGCAAACAUAUUGGGUGUAUCAAGAAGCACAGUGAAGCGACGGUUAAGACAGUACAAUCUAUCAUUUCGGGGUUGUUACACAACUCUAUCAGAUGAAGCACUUGACAGCAGUGUGCUGGAGAUUGUCUCUGCCAAUGACGAAAUAGGACCUGAAGCUGUUAGGGCUCGGCUUGCUGGUGAAGGCAUCCUAGUCCAGAGACGACGUGUGCGGCAAAGUGUAAUCAGGACUAAUCCUGAAGGUGCUGCUCUUCGGACAAUGUCCCACAGGCUUCACAGAAGAACAUACAAAGUGGCAGGACCAAAUUCACUGUGGCAUGUAGAUGGAAAUCAUAAACUCAUUAGGUGGAGAAUUGUGAUCCAUGGAGGUGUUGAUGGGUACAGCAGACUUGUGGUUUUCCUACAAGCUUCAAACAACAAUAGAAGUGAUACUGUUAUGGACCUGUUUAUUGGAGCAGUCAGCCAGUAUGGUGUCCCUUCAAGGGUCAGAUGUGACCAUGGAGGGGAAAACAAUGGAAUGUGUCUCUUCAUGGAUAUCUUCCGAGGCUCAAGCAGGGGAAGUGCUUUACGAGGGAGGAGCACUCAUAACCAGCGCAUUGAGAGACUAUGGAGUGAUGUGUGGAGAGGUGUUACAAACGUCUAUUAUUCAUUGUUUGCAUGGCU